GUGGCAUUACAAAAAAAAGGGGUAAACUCCAAAUAACAUUUAUGUGAUUUCGCAUUUUUUCACUUUACUAUUUUAUGAUUUAAAGUGUAUCAAGUUAGUGUCAUGUGGUUUCAUUUUUAUCUUUUCGUCUGCUUUUUCGUUAAUAAUAUUUUGUUAAAUUAUAUACGAAAAAACUUCAGAUACUUUACUUAGGUUUAUCGAAUAUUCACUUUAAUGCCAUUUAGUUUUAACUUUGUCACUGAUUUAACGAAAAAAAUUAGUAAAAUUGAUAAUAAAAAAAUAAAAAUAAAAUCACAGAAUACUAAAUUGAUACACUCUAAAUCAUAAGAUACUAAAGUAAGAAAAGUUAAAACUACAGGGGUGAUGUUAGAAAUUUUUCUACAAAAAAAUG
rnacentral:lncRNA from 1 species